CAAUAGCGUAUAUUAAAGUUGUUGCAGUUAAAAAGCUCGUAGUUGAAUUUCUGUCAGGAGUGACCGGGCCUUUGGAUGAACUUCCAUUGUUUUUUGCUCUGUUUGUCAUCUCUAGACAUCCUGAAAUAUUUUUUAAAAAUAUUUCUCUUUUACUGUUAGCAAAAUAGAGUGUUCCAAGCAAAGCGUAGUUUUGAAUACAUUAGAAUGGAAUAAUAAGAUAGGACUUUGGUGCUAUUUUGUUGGUUUGCACACCAAGGUAAUGAUUAAUAGGGACGGUUGGGGGUAUUCGUAUUUAAUUGUCAGAGGUGAAAUUCUUGGAUUUAUGAAAGACGAACUACUGCGAAAGCAUUUACCAAGGAUGUUUUCAUUAA
rnacentral:rRNA from 1 species